rnacentral:rRNA from 1 species
UACGUAGGGUGCGAGCGUUGUCCGGAAUUACUGGGCGUAAAGAGCUCGUAGGUGGUUUGUCGCGUUGUUCGUGAAAAACCGGGGGCUUAACCCUCGGCGUGCGGGCGAUACGGGCAGACUUGAGUACUGCAGGGGAGACGUGGAAUUCCUGGUGUAGCGGUGAAAUGCGCAGAUAUCAGGAGGAACACCGGUGGCGAAGGCGGGUCUCUGGGCCGUAACUGACGCUGAGGAGCGAAAGCGUGGGGAGCGAACAGGAUUAGACUAC